GACGAACGCUGGCGGCGUGCUUAACACAUGCAAGUCGAACGGAAAGGCCCUGCUUUUGUGGGGUGCUCGAGUGGCGAACGGGUGAGUAACACGUGAGUAACCUGCCCUUGACUUUGGGAUAACUUCAGGAAACUGGGGCUAAUACCGGAUAGGAGCUCCUGCUGCAUGGUGGGGGUUGGAAAUUUUCGGCGGUUGGGGAUGGAUUCGCGGCUUAUCAGCUUGUUGGUGGGGUAGUGGCUUACCAAGGCUUUGACGGGUAGCCGGCCUGGGAGGGUGACCGGGGACAAGGGGACUAAGGGACGGAGCAGACGCGAACGGGAGGCAGCAGUGGGGAAUAUGACACAAUGGGGGGAAGCGUGAUGCAGAAACGCCGGGGGCGGGAUGACGGCCUUCGGGUUGUAAACCGCUUUCGCCUGUGACGAAGCGGGAGUGACGGUAAUGGGUAAAGAAGCACCGGCUAACUACGUG
rnacentral:rRNA from 1 species